CCCACCACAAUUUGGCACCCCAGAUGGGACCCAUCUAGCUUGGAGCCUUUGGAGACCUCUACCCCCUGACACCCCAGCGCACACCAGGUGAGUUCACCUAUUUGGGUCAGUCUCGGGAGGUGGAUGGUCCCCUCAGGACCAAUAAGGCGGGAUCCUCAAAUCGGGUAAAGGAACGGUACCGGCGAGUACCUCAGGUCAGGUAUGCUGCUUUAAGCCAACCUUUACCUGCCAAUGUCCCAGCACAUCGCAUCCAGCCUGGAGACUGGGUGUAUGUAAAAACUUGAAAACGGUCUCCCCUGGAACCUAAGUGGCAAGGACCGUAUCAAGUUCUCCUCACCUCCCACACCGCCGUAAAAAUAGCAGAAAAGGACAACUGGAUUCAUUAUACUCGUACAAAAAAGACAGAAGUUUCACCAGAGCUCAGGAUCGGCUCCAACGCAAGCUUCCCUGACCUAGAAAA